GGUUAGCUCAGUUGGUUAGAGUGUGGCGCUAAUAAGGCCAAGGCCACAGGUUUGAUUCCUGCAUGGUGCA